AUUUGAAUAUGAUAACCGUAGACAGUAGGUGCCGAUGGCUUAAUUUCCUACCGAGGUGUUGUGAUAGAAUAUCUGUUGAUUGCAGUCGUUGCAAUUAAUGAUUCUUCAGGCCUUCGUGAUUCUGCGGAGGCUUUUUUCAU
rnacentral:sRNA from 1 species